rnacentral:rRNA from 1 species
GCGGAGGAAAAGAAACCAACAGGGAUUGCCCCAGUAACGGCGAGUGAAGCGGCAUAGCUCAAAUUUGAAAUCUGGCUCUUUCAGGGUCCGAGUUGUAAUUUGCAGAGGGCGCUUUGGCGUUGGCAGCGGUCCAAGUUCCUUGGAACAGGACGUCACAGAGGGUGAGAAUCCCGUACGUGGUCGCUAUCCUUCGCCGUGUAAAGCCCCUUCGACGAGUCGAGUUGUUUGGGAAUGCAGCUCUAAAUGGGAGGUAAAUUUCUUCUAAAGCUAAAUACUGGCCAGAGACCGAUAGCGCACAAGUAGAGUGAUCGAAAGAUGAAAAGCACUUUGGAAAGAGAGUCAAAUAGCACGUGAAAUUGUUGAAAGGGAAGCGCUUGUAGCCAGACUUGCCUGUAGUUGCUUAUCUAGACUUUUGUCUAGUGCACUCUUCUAUGGGCAGGCCAGCAUCAGUUUGGGCGGUUGGAUAAAGGUCUCUGUCAUGUACCUCUUUUCGGGGAGGCCUUAUAGGGGAGACGACAUACAACCAGCCUGGACUGAGGUCCGCGCAUCUGCUAGGAUGCUGGCGUAAUGGCUAUAAGCGGCCCGUCUUGAAACACGGACCAAGGAGUCUAACAUCUAUGCGAGUGUUUGGGUGUCAAGCCCAUACGCGUAAUGAAAGUGAACGGAGGUAAGAACCUUCGGGUGCAUUAUCGACCGAUCCUGAUGUCUUCGGAAGGAUUUGAGUAAGAGCAUGGCUGUUGGGACCCGAAAGAUGGUGAACUAUGCUUGAAUAGGGUGAAGCCAGAGGAAACUCUGGUGGAGGCUCGCAGCGGUUCUGACGUGCAAAUCGAUCGUCAAAUUUGGGCAUAGGGGCGAAAGACUAAUCGAACUAUCUAGUAGCUGGUUCCUGCCGAAGUUCCCCUCAG